rnacentral:misc_RNA from 1 species
AGGAUCUGACUCUAGUACGAGAGGACCGAGUUGGACGCACCUCUGGUGUACCAGUUGUUGUGCCAACAGCAUAGCUGGGUAGCUAAGUGCGGACGGGAUAAUUGCUGAAAGCAUCUAAGCGAGAAACCCCCCUCAAGAUUAGAUUUCCCCAUUAGGGCCGUGAGAGACCAUCACGUUGAUAGGCCGGAGGUGUAAGUGUGGUAACGCAUGUAGCUGACCGGUACUAAUAGCCCGAUUGGUUUGUUCAUUUGUUGUGAUGCGUGUAGUGGCAAGACUGUGCUAUCUUUACUUUAAUCUUUCCUACUAACUUUGUUAUGGACGUUUGGCUGGUGGUUAUGGCGGGAGUGAAACACCCGGUAACAUUCCGAACCCGGAAGUUAAGCCUCCUAGCGCUUGUGGUACUUUGUCUUAAGACAUGGGAG